rnacentral:misc_RNA from 1 species
AGCAGCCGCGGUAAUUCCAGCUCCAAUAGCGUAUAUUAAAGUUGUUGCAGUUAAAAGCUCGUAGUUGAAUUUCGAGACCGGUUUACUGGUCGUGCUUUUGUACGUACUGGUAUUAUUGGUUUCUCCUUUAUGUCGAAUCUUAAUGCCAUUAAUUUGGUGUUUUGGGGAAUCAGGACUGUUACUUUGAAAAAUUAGAGUGUUUAAAGCAGGCUCACGCUUGAAUACAUUAGCAUGGAAUAACGGAAUAGGACGUUUGAUUCUAUUUUGUUGGUUUCUAGGAUCGACGUAAUGAUUAAUAGGGAUAGUUGGGGGCAUUAGUAUUCAAUUGUCAGAGGUGAAAUUCUUGGAUUUAUUGAAGACUAACUACUGCGAAAGCAUUUGCCAAGGAUGUUUUCAUUAAUCAAGAACGAAAGUUAGGGGAUCGAAGACGAUCAGAUACCGUCGUAGUCUUAACCAUAAACUAUGCCGACUAAGGAUCGGAU